rnacentral:rRNA from 1 species
GGGGAAUAUUGCGCAAUGGGGGAAACCCUGACGCAGCAACGCCGCGUGGAGGAAGAAGGCCUUCGGGUCGUAAACUCCUUUGAUCAGGGAUGAAAGAUGACAGUACCUGAAAAACAAGCCACGGCUAACUACGUGCCAGCAGCCGCGGUAAUACGUAGGUGGCGAGCGUUGUCCGGAAUUACUGGGCGUAAAGGGUGCGUAGGCGGAAUCUUAAGUCAGAUGUGAAAAUCCAGGGCUCAACCUUGGAACUGCAUUUGAAACUGGGGUUCUAGAGUGCAGGAGAGGAAAGCGGAAUUCCUAGUGUAGCGGUGAAAUGCGUAGAUAUUAGGAAGAACACCAGUGGCGAAGGCGGCUUUCUGGACUGUAACUGACGCUGAGGCACGAAAGCGUGGGGAGCAAAC